AACGCUUUCUUGCUCCAUUAUUCAUAUUCAAUUACACUACUUCUUGAAAAUAUGUCGUUUCAAGAGGGUGGAAACACGCGAGGGGGAGCCGGCGCAUGCAUUUCAUUGUUUGUCAAAACAAAUCGAAUUAUUGUGAAGCGCAUCUAAUUGCACAUCCAAAUCUAAAUCCCCAAACUCAUUUCCCGUAACACAACACUUGACUACCAGUAGUAACGAGGCGUCCCCCUUGAGCAAUGGCGGCCUCUCUUUUUAUGAUUGAUUUGAGUGUUAUUGUGUGUUUCUGUU
ensembl:ncRNA W07G4.10 ncRNA